rnacentral:rRNA from 1 species
CCUACGGGGGGCUGCAGUCGAGAAUCUUCGGCAAUGGGCGCAAGCCUGACCGAGCGACGCCGCGUGCGGGAUGAAGGCCUUCGGGUUGUAAACCGCUGUCGUAGGGGAACAAAUGUAAGGGGGUUCUCCCCUUUACUUGAGUGAUCCUAGGAGGAAGGACGGGCUAAGUUCGUGCCAGCAGCCGCGGUAAGACGAACCGUCCGAACGUUAUUCGGUAUCACUGGGCUUAAAGAGUUCGUAGGCGGCCCGACAGGUGAGGUGUGAAAUCCCUCGGCUCAACCGAGGAACUGCGCUUCAAACCGUCAGGCUUGAGGGAGACAGAGGUAGGCGGAACAGAUGGUGGAGCGGUGAAAUGCGUUGAUAUCAUCUGGAACACCGGUGGCGAAAGCGGCCUACUGGGUCUUUUCUGACGCUGAGGAGCGAAAGCUAGGGUAGCGAACGGGCUUAGAUACCCCUGUAGUC